UUUUUUUUUUUUUUUUUUUUUUUUUGAGAUAGACUCUUGCUCUGGCUCCCAGACUGGAGUGCAGUGGCGCAAUCUUGGCUCACUGCAGCCUUCGCUCCUGGGUUCAAGUGAUUCUCCUGCCUCAGCCUCUUGAGUAGCUAUAACAAUAGGCACAUACCACCACACCCAGCUAAUAUUUGUAUUUUUAGAAGACAUGGGGUUCCACCAUGUUGGCCAGGCUGGUCUGGAUAUCCUGACCUCAAGUGAUCUGCCAGCCCUAGCCUCCUAAAGUGCUGGGAUUACAGGCAGGAGCCACUGCACCCAUCCUGGUCUGUUUAUCUCUUAACCUAAGGUUCUUCACCACCAUGAUGCUACCACUCAGCACCAGUGGCAUAUGUAUAUUUAUUCCUUCAGCACAUAAAUCAGAACAUUGUUGAAUAGGGCCUCAGUUUGUGUUUGAGGCUGUGAAAAAUACUAAGAUGGUUAAGACAUGAUCCCAAUACUCAAGAAACUUCUAAUGUAAGAGGAUAGAUAUAUUUAACAAAUAAACAUUUUGAUUAUAAAGAAUGAAAGCAGCAAUUAUGAUGAAAAUUUAAUUUUCCUACAAUAAGAGAUACCUAAGAAUGUAUUAAAUAAAUGGGAAUAAAAUAGCAAGGAUGAAUACCUUCUAGGUCAAUCAGGUAGAAUCUGGAAGACCCGCAGUGCAGCUUAGAUCUAUCACUAAGUUUGCCUUGGCAAAAUCUUUGACUGUCUUUUCCAAGAUCCCCCAUCUGUGAAGAGGAGGAUAGAUUAUCAGAUCAAAUACAAAAAUAAAAUAUACCAAAAGUCAAUAGAAAAUCAUACAGAACUAUUUAAAUGUAAGAUGAUAUUUUCUCCAGUUUCAGACAGACAUUUCAUCUCUGUCUUCUGAUGUCAGGUGACCCACCCACCUCGGCCUCCCAAAGUGCUGGGAUUACACGCCUGAGCCACUCGCCCGGCCGUCUUGUCUUUUUCUUCUCUCCAGGCUGAUUUUCUUGAGGUGGGAAGGUUUGAUUAGUGAUGUUACCCAGAACCUUGGGCAGAGGAAAUUAUGAGAUAAAAAACAAAUAAAAGGAUGGUUCAAGAGGUUUCCCUUUCUUUCAUUUUAGUUGAAGGGGCAGAUGGAGAGUAGCUCCAUAAGUCAUCUGUCCCAAUGAGGGAUGUAAUCUAUUUCUCCGGUUCCAGGACACAGUAUUCCAAACAACCACUGUUCAGUCUUCCUAUGUCACACUACCAGCCUGCCAAUUAAUAAUCUCAGUAGAUAUAAUGGCCAAAUACAUGACAAAUUUCUAAACCAUAGAGUACUCUGCUCCUUCCCCUUACUCCCUCCAGUGAUUUGCCCUUCUUUUUCAUACUCAUCUACUCAAACUGCAAAGAAUCUUUGUUUCAUUUCCAUACCCUCAAUACGGACUUCCUCGGUGAAUGCUUGGCAGUUUAAUGAAAACCCGUGAAAUUGACUUCUGGCUUCAAAACUUCAUAGCUGUAUGAGUUUGAUCUAGUUACUUAAAAACUUACCAAGGGGUUGGGCGCAGUGGCUCAUAUCUGUAAUCCCAGAAUUUUGGGAGGCUGAUGUAGGAGGAUCACUUGAGCCCAGGAGUUCAAGACCAGCCUAGG
rnacentral:lncRNA from 1 species